UACAGAGGGUGCGAGCGUUGUCCGGAAUCACUGGGCGUAAAGGGCGCGUAGGUGGCGCCGCAAGUCCAUGGUGAAAGCUCGAUGCUCAACAUCGAGUCGGCCACGGAGACUGCGGGGCUCGAGCACUGUAGGGGCAGAUGGAAUUCCUGGUGUAGCGGUGAAAAUGCGCAGAUAUCAGGAGGAACACCGGUGGCGAAGGCGGGUCUCUGGGCCGAUACUGACGCUGGAGGAGCGAAAGCGUGGGGAGCGAACAGG
rnacentral:rRNA from 1 species